rnacentral:misc_RNA from 1 species
AAGUGUUUACUCCGAAAAAUCCUUGAAUAAUGAGAACCAAAACUGUAGUUGCAGCCGGUUUCUUCCUGCUGUUGAUCCUUACAACGUCUUCUGGCUUCCAGUCCGACGAGCUUCUCGUCGACGAUGAAGAGUUUGGUCUCGAAGGUGGAAUCCGAUCCCGAUCCCGUUCCGAUCCCAACAACGUCAACGCAGCAACACCUCAGUCGAUCCGGAAGAGGUUGGUCUCUGAUUCAGAUUCAAAGAUCCAGUUCCCUCUGGAACAUGCCUUUGGUGACUCCAACUUCUCCCGUGCCGGCACCUUUACUGCUCGCCUUAAAUCUUCUUCUCACGGUUCCCAGAUGCAAACGCUGACAAAGCUUCGCUUCUCCAGAAAUGCUUUUAUUGGACCAGAGAAGGAGGAUUUCGAAAAACUCUUGAAAGGUGAUGACUUUUACAAAAUAAGAGUACCAUCCAACGUAUUGAACCUUUCAGGCAGAGAAUAUGUUGUUUCCUCAGUGAAAGCAAGGUGUCUUCCACGGGAUGGUUUGGAGGAGCACUUUCUCAUACAUAUGGACGGUGUGAAUAUUCUGGCUGUUAAUUAUGGUUCCCCUGGUGCAUGCCAGUACCCUCGUCAAUUGAAGUUUCCUGCAAAAUGGUCCUUUAACUCGCAUACAGUCCUAAAACCUACUGAGCAGGCACCCAGAACACCUAUAUUUUCAGAAGCUGUUGUAGGAGAGAAUGCAGAGGGCGACGAAGUGCAGCCUCCAGAGAGAUCUUUCUGGGCUAAAUAUUGGAUGUAUUUGAUCCCUCUUGGACUCAUUGUUAUGAAUGCUAUGACCCAAGCUAUGAACAUGGCUGAAGAACAGACUAGCGGACAAGCAGGGGCUCAAGGACAACAGGCAAUUGGUGCUCAACGUGCACAAAAUACUGUGGUACGAAGAAGAUGAUAGGUGAGCAAGUAGGAAGUUUGUGCAAGUACUUCUGUGGUUUCUUCUUCAUUAUCGAUUUAACUUCCAUAGAAUCUGAACCCAGGCACCGUCAACUUCCUGGUUGCCUUCUUCCAGAGAAUUUGGCCUCACACAUUUAAAUUAGAAAUUGUAUUAGCCCUUCUUAGGGGUGUAAAAAUAAUGUUCAAGUAAUUUUGACUAUUAUUAAAUUGCAGAAACAUGUUAAUCUUGAAGUAAUUUUUUCAAUUUUGUUUAUUGUU